GGGUAGUGGAGUGGGAUCAUGGCUAUCACCGUGGCUCACCACGUGGAAUCAGUUAUGGGGAGUGGAGCGGCGUCCGCUGUCGCGACUCGUCGGGGAGAGGUAGAAUCGCACAGGAUCCGCCGCAGGGAGUGGAGCAGAAUCGUGGCCAUUAAUAAAGCCUGUCAGGGAGUAAUGGAGCUGCGUAGGAUCCGCCGCAAGGAUUGGAGCAGUGUUGUCCGUUACUGUGGCCUGCCAGGGGGUCCAGACUUGUCGGCCGA
rnacentral:lncRNA from 1 species